rnacentral:rRNA from 1 species
AUAUGGUAGUCUGUUAGUAUAGUUGAAGGAUUUGGAAAAUUCCGCUAAAGAGGGUGAAAGCCCCGUAGACGAAAUGCUGACAACACCUAGGAGGAUCCUGAGUACGGCGGAACACGAGAAAUUCCGUCGGAAUCCGCGGGGACCAUCCCGCAAGGCUAAAUACUCCCUAGUGACCGAUAGUGAACCAGUACCGUGAGGGAAAGGUGAAAAGCACCCCGGAAGGGGAGUGAAAUAGAUCCUGAAACCGUGUGCCUACAACAAGUCAAAGCUCGUUAAUGAGUGAUGGCGUGCCUUUUGUAGAAUGAACCGGCGAGUUACGAUUGCAUGCGAGGUUAAGUCGAAGAGACGGAGCCGCAGCGAAAGCGAGUCUGAAUAGGGCGAAUGAGUAUGUAGUCGUAGACCCGAAACCAUGUGAUCUACCCAUGUCCAGGUUGAAGGUGCGGUAAAACGCACUGGAGGACCGAACCCACGUACGUUGAAAAGUGCGGGGAUGAGGUGUGGGUAGCGGAGAAAUUCCAAACGAACUUGGAGAUAGCUGGUUCUCUCCGAAAUAGCUUUAGGGCUAGCCUCGGAAUUGAGAAUCCGUAGUCGAAAGGGAAACAGCCCAGACCACCAGCUAAGGUCCCAAAAUAUAUGUUAAGUGGAAAAGGAUGUGGGGUUGCACAGACAACUAGGAUGUUGGCUUAGAAGCAGCCACCAUUUAAAGAGUGCGUAAUAGCUCACUAGUCGAGUGACCCUGCGCCGAAAAUGUACCGGGGCUAAACAUAUUACCGAAGCUGUGGACUACACCAUUAGGUGUAGUGGUAGGAGAGCGUUCUAAGGGCGUUGAAGGUCGAUCGUGAGGACGGCUGGAGCGCUUAGAAGUGAGAAUGCCGGUAUGAGUAGCGAAAGACAGGUGAGAAUCCUGUCCACCGUAUGACUAAGGUUUCCUGGGGAAGGCUCGUCCGCCCAGGGUUAGUCGGGACCUAAGCCGAGGCCGAUAGGCGUAGGCGAUGGACAACAGGUUGAUAUUCCUGUACCAGUUGUUUUUGUUUGAGCAAUGGAGGGACGCAGUAGGCUAAGGAAUGCAUGCGAUUGGAAGUGCAUGUCCAAGCAAUGAGUCUUGAGUAGAGUUAAAUGCUUUACUCUCUAAGGACAAGUUGUGACGGGGAGCGAAAUAAUAGUAGCGAAGUUCCUGAUGUCACACUGCCAAGAAAAGCUUCUAGUGAGAAAACAACUGCCCGUACCGUAAACCGACACAGGUAGUCGAGGAGAGUAUCCUAAGGUGAGCGAGCGAACUCUCGUUAAGGAACUCGGCAAAAUGACCCCGUAACUUCGGGAGAAGGGGUGCUGACUUCGGUCAGCCGCAGUGAAUAGGCCCAAGCGACUGUUUAUCAAAAACACAGGUCUCUGCAAAAUCGUAAGAUGAAGUAUAGGGGCUGACGCCUGCCCGGUGCUGGAAGGUUAAGAGGAUGGGUUAGCUUCGGCGAAGCUCAGAAUUGAAGCCCCAGUAAACGGCGGCCGUAACUAUAACGGUCCUAAGGUAGCGAAAUUCCUUGUCGGGUAAGUUCCGACCCGCACGAAAGGCGUAACGAUUUGG